rnacentral:sRNA from 1 species
UGAUCCUGACCGCGAUGCGGUGCGUUGC